rnacentral:rRNA from 1 species
AUUGAACGCUGGCGGCAUGCCUUACACAUGCAAGUCGAACGGCAGCACGGGUGCUUGCACCUGGUGGCGAGUGGCGAACGGGUGAGUAAUACAUCGGAACGUACCUUAUCGUGGGGGAUAACGCAGCGAAAGCUGUGCUAAUACCGCAUACGCCCUGAGGGGGAAAGCGGGGGAUCGCAAGACCUCGCGCGAUUAGAGCGGCUGAUGCCUGAUUAGCUUGUUGGUGGGGUAAAAGCCCACCAAGGCGACGAUCAGUAGCUGGUCUGAGAGGACGAUCAGCCACACUGGGACUGAGACACGGCCCAGACUCCUACGGGAGGCAGCAGUGGGGAAUUUUGGACAAUAGGGGCAACCCUGAUCCAGCAAUGCCGCGUGAGUGAAGAAGGCCUUCGGGUUGUAAAGCUCUUUUGUCAGGGAAGAAACACCGGCUCUAACACAGUCCGGGAAUGACGGUACCUGAAGAAUAAGCACCGGCUAACUACGUGCCAGCCGCCGCCGUAA